GACACCGAGGGAGACAGUAGAGGCCGCUCCUCCCUGCUGCGCGGCACCCCCACCCCCCCGCAGGGGUGGAUGGGCACCUCGGAGGCAAGCCAGGGGCUGGUGGGGGCCGGAACAGUGGCGGGAUUUCUGCAGGUGUGACCGGGGUUUCUAAUCAGGUGACUUGGCGUUCAUCAGAAGGGAGGUUGAUCUGGCCGAGCCUGGCUAGCUCAGGUGCACCCUUUAAGAGGCUGGAAGCCACAGAGCCGCCCCCUCCUGAUGCCAAAGAAGCAUAUGGCCAUCGGCUCCACAGCUGCGAGAAAGAUUAUGCACACAACGACAUGCGCUCAGGAGGGGACCUCGCGCCUCGGUUGAGAUCCCAGCCCUGGCUGACACCUUGAGUGCAGCCUGUGAGACCCUGAGCAGAGGUUCAGCAGUCCCCUCCCCGGACUCCUGCCACACAGAAGCCAUGAGCUGACAGAACCAAGGACACACACCUUGUUAACGACGCCCUCAAGGCUGUGAGGAGAAAGACAACCGGGUGAAGCAACGCUGGGAAUUCAACGCAUCAAUUACCUUCCCAGGUAACAGCAGCUACUUGAGCUCCUAAGAGUUGACCUUCAGCUGCUGUCAUGGAAAAUAGUGGGGGUCAACUAGACAUCAAAGAUGAAAGGCCAGGCCUCCAGCACAACUUUCUCUGUAAGCUCGAUAGUGGCUUUCUCAAAGAAAUCCUUUUCUCAAAAAAAUUUCUUGUAAAGACAGGGUCUUGUUCUGUCACCCAGGCUGGACUGCAGUGCAUGGCUCACUGCAGCCUCAACCUCCCGGGCUAGAGUGAUCCUCCCCUUUUCUGAGGAGCUCAGACCACAAGCGUGCACCACUGUGCCCAGCUGAUUUAUAAACUUUUUUUUUAGAGACAGGGUUUCACCAUGUUGGCCAGGCUGUUU
rnacentral:lncRNA from 1 species